rnacentral:tRNA from 2 species
CGCGGGGUAGAGCAGUGGUUAGCUUGUCGCUUUGACUUGGCGAAGGUCCGGGGUUCGAAUCCCUGUCCCGCAA